rnacentral:rRNA from 1 species
UACGGGGGGGGCAAGCGUUGUUCGGAAUUACUGGGCGUAAAGGGCUCGUAGGCGGCCAACUAAGUCAGACGUGAAAUCCCUCGGCUUAACCGGGGAACUGCGUCUGAUACUGGAUGGCUUGAGAUUGGGAGAGGGAUGCGGAAUUCCAGGUGUAGCGGUGAAAUGCGUAGAUAUCUGGAGGAACACCGGUGGCGAAGGCGACAUCCUGGACCAACACUGACGCUGAGGAGCGAAAGCCGGGGGAGCAAACAGG